UAGACUUUCCUAUUUACAUGUACUUUAUAACUUAAUUUGUUGCGACGUAUGGAGAAGUCAGAAGAAGAAAAUAAACUGCGUACAAGAUGAGAAAACAAACUUACCAACCGUAGAUGGAGUUGACAAGAGAGAAAGAGGAACAUGCAAUACCAGAAAAAGAGAUCGAACCAAGAAUAAUUUCCAAGCAAGAAGAUGUAGAAGACAAAAAUGGCAGCAAGAGGACUAGGACUACAAGUUGUCCUGCAAACUGUGAAUACCUCAUUCCCCCUGACAAUGAGGGCUUUAACGGACAUAAAAUUCCUGAAGGAAUUGGCUUAGAGGAUACAGCUGCUGAGCUUAAGGAGAAGCCAAGAAGGGAGGGAAAAGGAAGGACGGUGAUCAAUCUGGAGAUGCCAACUGGUGUAUUGAAAUGUUUCUAGGCAAGCAAGGAAGGCUGCCAAAGAGAGGAGAACACACUAUCAAUUGGAACAAUUGAAAAGAAGAAAGACAAAUGCCUAAAACAGGGAGGCCAAGGAAGAAUUUGAGUUAGUCUGCAUUUACCUUGUGACAGUGUGCUUUAUUCCAUCAUAACAAUUUUCAUGCUCAGCUUAGUAUACUGCUUUCAGACAUAUGCUAUAGGCAGCUGCACUUGCACUGUGUAUGAGCCAUAUUUGCAUUUCUGAUGCACAUGACUGAGUGGUGUGAAAAAUUACAUUGAGAGCUGUGCUGGAUGAUUGCCUGACUGCCCUUAACAUAUGUCUGAUGGUAACAAAAGAAGAAAUGGAAGUGUCCUCUUUACCUGCACCUGGUGACAGAACAGCUAGAGAGGCACCAGAGGAGGUGGACACUGAAUGGCAGUCUAUAAUGACAAGAGCACACAGACUGCUUGGAUGUUCAUCCUAUGGCUCUAAUCACACUAUCCAAUCACAUGUGCAAGAGGAACAAUCCAGCACCAACCCUGUCAAUAAUGGAGAAAUUGGCAUUGAAAUUCAAUCAACAAAUGGAAGGAACAAGAAGAGACUCUUGGAACAAGAAAAUCCAAGACAAACAAUGGUUUUUUUUUUUGAGUGAUUUCUAUUCAUUUGGAUCCUUUCCUUAUGUCCCUUUGUCAUUUUUUUUGUGCUUCACAAUUUUUCAUUUCUUGGAGUUCAUUGUUCAUAAGAUGUUGAUCUGUUAAUGAUCUUACAGGUCUGACAAAUUUCCAUGAUCAGCCUGUUCUGAUCUUUGAAGAUCUUCAAUCAUGCAACAGUUUAUUUCUCCAUCUAUUCCUAGACCAUUACCUUUAAAUCAACUUAUACUAGUCAGUAGACUGCCAUGGUUGAGUGAUAUAUCAUUUACUGAUUUUCCUUUCACAUGAUUUUUUGUAUAGGCCAUUGAACAAGGAGGUGGAAAUGCUCGAAAACAGAUAUCUAAUCUCUUUUCUAAUUCUCAAAUGAUGGGAAAUUGCUCUGGUACUACUAUAUGCAAUACUAAGGGUACGACUGUUUCAUCUUCUUCCUGUCAAGGUGAUGCAAAGAGGAUAUUUCUGGGGAAUAGCAAGCAUGAAGGAGCUGAAACCACCAUGAGGACUGGUGGUGGUCGUUGGAAGGAAUGGACUGAUAACUUGAUGGCAGGAUCACCCAGACUUGCUUGUCCUAAAGGCAGCGGCGGAUACCAGGACGAGGGUGAAGAAGAUGAGGAAUAUUCAUCUGGCCCCAUUAAGAAGAAAGUUAAGACAAGGAAAUUAACCAGCAUUUAUGCUGACAUCAGAAGCCUAAUGCCUAGCUCUUCAAAGGUGAAUGAGAGUGAGGAAGCAGAUGGGAAGUCAUCAGGUGAAGACUGAAGAGCUCAAUGAGUGAAGAUAUACAUCAUCGAGGUUAAGUUGAAUUAAGCUUCAAAAACUAUAGCAAUAAUUUUAUGAUAUACAUAGUAAGUGCUAAACGCAGCCUGCGUUAAGCAAACUUGACUUAAUAAUUAUCUCCAAACAAUGCUUUAAUUUCUCUUGUUUAUGAUUUUCUGAGGAUGUUUCAGAAAAAUUGAAUUAUAUAUGGAGAGUUUGUUAUAAAUUGUUGUUGUUUCUAAAUGCUGUUGUCUACCUUAACUGUUUUUUUUUUUUGAGGGGGGUAAAGUUGUCUAUGUCAAUUGCAAGG